UGGGGAAUAUUGGACAAUGGGCGCAAGCCUGAUCCAGCCAUGCCGCGUUAGUGAUGAAGGCCCUAGGGCUGUAAAGCUCUUUCACCGGUGAAGAUAAUGACGGUAACCGGAGAAGAAGCCCCGGCUAACUUCGUGCCAGCAGCCGCGGUAAUACGAAGGGGGCUAGCGUUGUUCGGAUUUACUGGGCGUAAAGCGCACGUAGGCGGACUUUUAAGUCAGGGGUGAAAUCCCGGGGCUCAACCCCGGAACUGCCUUUGAUACUGGAAGUCUUGAGUAUGGUAGAGGUGAGUGGAAUUCCGAGUGUAGAGGUGAAAUUCGUAGAUAUUCGGAGGAACACCAGUGGCGAAGGCGGCUCACUGGACCAUUACUGACGCUGAGGUGCGAAAGCGUGGGGAGCAAACAGG
rnacentral:rRNA from 1 species